UACAGAGGUCCCAAGCGUUGUUCGGAUUCACUGGGCGUAAAGGGUGCGUAGGCGGUCGGGUAAGUCUGAUGUGAAAUCUCCAAGCUCAACUUGGAAAUGGCAUCGGAUACUAUUCGGCUUGAGGAGUGGAGGGGAGACUGGAAUUCUCGGUGUAGCAGUGAAAUGCGUAGAUAUCGAGAGGAACACCAGUGGCGAAGGCGAGUCUCUGGACACAUAUUGACGCUGAGGUGCGAAAGCGUGGGGAGCAAACAGG
rnacentral:rRNA from 1 species